UACGUAGGGGGCAAGCGUUGUUCGGAAUCAUUGGGCGUAAAGAGCGUGUAGGCGGCCCGGUAAGUCUGUUGUGAAAGUCCAGGGCUCAACCCUGGAAUGCCGAUGGAUACUGCCGGGCUAGAGUUCGGAAGAGGCGAGUGGAAUUCCUGGUGUAGCGGUGGAAUGCGCAGAUAUCAGGAGGAACACCUAUAGCGAAGGCAGCUCGCUGGGACGACACUGACGCUGAGACGCGAAAGCGUGGGGAGCGAACAGG
rnacentral:rRNA from 1 species